rnacentral:rRNA from 1 species
GACGAACGCUGGCGGCGUGCUUAACACAUGCAAGUCGAGCGGUAAGGCCCUUUCGGGGGUACGACGAGCGGCGAACGGGUGAGUAACACGUGGGUGACCUGCCCUCAGCUCUGGGAUAAGCCUGGGAAACCGGGUCUAAUACUGGAUAUGACUCCAUGACGCAUGUUGUGGGGUGGAAAGCCUUGUGCGGCUGAGGAUGGGCCCGCGGCCUAUCAGCUUGUUGGUGGGGUGAUGGCCUACCAAGGCGACGACGGGUAGCCGGCCUGAGAGGGCGACCGGCCACACUGGGACUGAGACACGGCCCAGACUCCUACGGGAGGCAGCAGUGGGGAAUCUUGCGCAAGUGGGCGAAAGCCUGACGCAGCGACGCCGCGUGA